GCUGGGCAUGGUGGUGCAUGCCUGUAAUCCCAGUACUCUGGAGGCUGAGGCAGGAGGAUCACUUGAGCCCUGGAGGUGGAGGCUGCAGUGAGCCAUGAUCGCACCACUGCACUCUAGCCUGGGUGACAGAGUGAGACCCUGUCUCCA
rnacentral:SRP_RNA from 1 species